AUGGAUACAACUAACGAAAUAAAGGGCGAUUAUGCUCCCAUCAGAGAUCCAGAGCACCCACAAUUAGGAAGAUUUGACAAGCCACUUCCAUGUUGUGGCUGCGGUAUUGGAUGGUUCUCUUUUCUGCUAGGAUUUGUAUUCCCAUUGAUGUGGUAUUAUGCUACAAUUCUCUACUUUGGAAAUUACUAUCAUAAGGAUCCAAGAGAACGUGCUGGACUCGCUGCUUCUGCAAUCGCUGCUCUGAUCUACACAAUUACUAUGGUGAUAACAGUAAUGGUUAUCAUCUUGUAA